rnacentral:snoRNA from 1 species
AAAAAAGCUGGAUGUUGUUCUCUAUGUAAGCAGUUCUCCUAAACUUUAGGAAUAUCAUUGUCAUUGUUAUUGGGUGAACCUGUGGACUCAAACUUGACGCCCACUAUAGGUUCAGUAAACUGUGAUACAUUU